UCCUGAUGCCCACGGUCCUUCUGUGAGUACUUAACGAGUAUAGUUGUUACUGCCCAAGCCAAAAUAUAUUUUUUUCUGGACUAAAUGCCCACGGUCCUUCUCCGAGGACGAAUACUUUGUGUUUGAACCAUAUUUGAAUUUACCGCCAUUAUUUUUUGGGAUUGCAUCUAUGGAUUUAACAUUCCAUCACUGACAGCUGUCUUAAGUGUCAUCUGAGGAUAAUCAAUCGUUCAUCGAAAAAACGUCAAAAAACGGAACCAUGGCGGGGCCACCGUCGACUAAAAUAUAAUGCGAAAUCCAAGAAAUUGAAGCAGAUUUAGCUAUGUUGGACAUAGAUCUCUCGGAGCACGAUGACAUGACGACAUAAAUGACUCACCAUGAACCCGUAGAAUUUGAAUUUUGUGAUGAUGAUAUCCAGGAGCUGCUAGCUGAGCCUUUCAUUUUAUCCUAUUUUGUUCCUAUAUUGAUCACAAUAAUUAUAAUAGUUGAUAAGUGAGAGUUUAUCUAGAAUAAAUAUAAGUUCUAAACUUAUGUGAGACUGA